rnacentral:rRNA from 1 species
CAAUCCACUCUACACCUCAUUCUCCUCUGUGGUCUGGUCGAGCGUUACGUCAACCGUACCAAUUGUAAUGUUAGAACCUUUGACUAGUGGAGAUAUCUGCUUCCUAAAUACCUGCAUGCUUCCUUACACCGUAUCUAAUAGGUCUUUUACCUGACGAAGGAGGACUACGGGUUAGUACCACAGUCCGAAGUAAACUAGGAUUUGUUGACGAAACCAGUCAUUAAAUAGAUGAGAAGUAGUGACGGACGUUAAAACUAGUAACUGAUAUCAAACAUUUAGUUGAACUUAAAUUGAACCAUUCAAAAUUGACAGAUAAAAAAAGCGAAUAGCCGAUACAUACCUCCAACAGUGUACAAACUAACCUGAAGUUAAACCUGUACAUCAGGAUGUAAAGCUCCAUAUUCUAACAACAAACAAAGAUAUAAACUUGUAAAGAAGAAUACCGCAUCUUUGAUAUAAGAUAAAGGGGGAAAAACCCGAUUGAACGAACAUCUUCGAGUUUCCUUCUUAAUAGCUAACCGAUUAGAGAAGAAAGUUGGACAAUCUUGAAUGUAAAAAGGACGAAUUUCAUAAUGUUCUUAUAUGUGAUCUAUUAGUGACCUCGGACGUCUCAACUGCGUCAUAUUGUCUAAUCGGACUACGAUUUUCUACAUCAGUACGUCUGGAGCGGUUACUCACUUACAACCUAAUCCAGGACUAGUAGACCUACAACGUCGUUGAGAAUAUUUACACCGUUACUACAUGGUCCUACGCUCGUUAUGCUCAUGACGAGAAUCCAUAGAAGUCCUUCGUGAAUUCUUCUUACUCACGGAAAAUCCGGGUCCAGUAUAAGUUUGUUGUCAAGCGAUAGUACGAGAGCGGUAACGUAAGUCAACAUACCCACGUAUGUUCGAAAGUCAAAUCCAAUCAAGACUGCUUUUUUACCGUCUUAUUGUAACACUGUGUAAAAUGACUGAAGUAAUAAAACCACCGUCGUACUUUGGUUCCGCGUACUAUAUGACCAUUUUGUCAAUCCCUCACUACUAAGUGUUUGUUUUAUAAGUCUUUUAAUCAACUUAUGUAAAUUCCCCGCUCUUGUUGUUCAUACACGCCUUUUUAAUAAAGUGUACCAACGAAGUGAGAACCAAGUCCCUCCGUCUGGUUUGUUCGUACUGUAACCUGUAGAGGUUUAGCUUGUGACCCCUGCGGCGUUCGUUCGUUCUAUCGCGGAAGUUCUUCCUCUUGCUGCAGCGUUUCGGCGGUGGUAGACUAGACCUCUUGGCCUGGAUCCCAAAGGGUGUUACCAGCUUGUCUACAAAUAAACUAGAGUUCAAAUAAGUAUCACCCGGUGCUCUUGAAAUACUUAGAUGAACCGAUAACCACUUCUUGUUUUAGGAAAGUAGUCUCCAUGCUACAAACUUAUUCCAAUUUUACCCCGAGAGAAGCUCGUAGAGGUACCAUUCACACAUGACUAAGACAAUUAAAAGAAUGACAGUUGUCUUACCAAGGAUAUUGCACGUCGGUCAAGUUGUUAAAAUCGUACACAACCAUCGGUUGUUAAUGAUUAUUAGUCAUAAACUAUUACGAAACCUAAUAAGACGUCAAGAAAAAAAUGGCGUCAAUACAACGUCAGUUUCUACGACUCUUGUACCUGACCUACUGGGUUGAAGUUUACCGCUACCCCUAUCGAAUGACAGUUCUCGUGUACGAAUUCAACUUAGAUGGACGAUCCGAUUCCUUGGAGUAGAGUUGUCAAUACAACGUUGCCACAGUCUAGAACUACAGACCUUACCGUGGUUCCCUAGACUAAGACAGUGACUACUAACGUAGUACGAUAUAAAGUAACACGUAGUCAUACCGUAGUACGAAUUCGACUUAGAUGUAUGAUAUCGAAUGACUGCUUCUAUUACCGACGUAGAAAAAAAUCGACCAGAACAGCGUAGAUAAACUUUUGUAUGUUGAACUAUGUAAGACAGCCUACGUAUAGAAAAAAAGGACCUUCAGCUUAUGAAUCUCGUUGCUACCAUUUGGUCCCCCGUAAAUAAGAAAAUCAAUGUCUAAACGAGUCGUCACAACCACUGCAUACUAUAAAGGAACCCCCCGUUUAAGUCUAUAAAACGGAGAAAAAGUCUAUCGAUUUCUAUCAAAACGACCGGGGAACAAAGAACCUCUAUUAGAGAAAACGCGACACCUUAUAAACCUUUGUCUACUUACGAACCUUAAAAAUUCCCUUCGUUCGUAGAAACAGGCCAACUGAGACCAGUGUAUCUCAAUUUUGGUUUCAGGUGAGACUCACGAACCUAGAGGAGAUACAGAACUCGAAAACUAGGAAUCUGAAAUUAAAAUUAAAAAGAAAAUCCCCAUAGGAGAUGGGGAUACAUUAGUACAUUGAAACAUGUAAUGAGGGGAAAAAGGAGCAAGAUAAUUACUUUUAAUGUGCCAUCCCCCAAGGGGAUGACAAACGGGUAUUAAAAAAAACUUCUUUGUAACGACUUUUCAGAAUAAAAAAUAAAGUAAAUUAAAGGAAUCAGUACACAACUUUACAACCCUCUAAUUUCAAAUACGAGAUAAGUGUGUAGCACCUCCGUUGGUACCGUCUCAGUAUCUCCCCCGUAGGUCUAUUUCAUUCUGUGAUUAACAUAUAUAUUGGUCCAAAACAUAUGUUACGUACUACUCAUAAGAUACAACGUGUAAGUAUUUAGAGGGUGCACUUUAAAAGUACGAUUGAUAUAUAUAUAACGAGCACGUCCUACCAAUACUCAACUCUUACUUUUUAAUAAUAUGAACAUAUGUUCAUGGUACACUCACUUCGCUUUCUGUUAUAAGGACUGCAAAAUAUCCUUAAAGAGUUCGUGUAGUUCCUCUAGAAUCAAAUAUUAUC